UACGGGGGGAGCAAGCGUUGUUCGGAUUUACUGGGCGUAAAGGGCGCGUAGGCGGCCAGCACAAGUCAGUUGUGAAAUCUCCGAGCUUAACUCGGAAAGGUCAACUGAUACUGUGCGGCUAGAGUGCCGAAGGGGCAACUGGAAUUCUUGGUGUAGCGGUGAAAUGCGUAGAUAUCAAGAGGAACACCUGCGGCGAAGGCGGGUUGCUGGGCUGACACUGACGCUGAGGCGCGAAAGCUAGGGGAGCGAACGGG
rnacentral:rRNA from 1 species